rnacentral:ribozyme from 1 species
ACAGGGACGAAGAAAAUCCUGAUGGCUCCUACUGCGACCUCUAUCAGUGUCCCAAUUGGGCGUAUUCAUAUGCUCUAGCAUUGUUUAGGAGCCGACGACAAGACGAGGCCGACUGUAUGCUUCGAAGUGCUAUAACGAAGUUUC